UGAUGAUGACGACGAUGAUGAUGAUGACGACAACGAUGAUGAUAACGAUGAUCAUUAUCAUCAUCGUUGUCGUCGUCAUCAUUAUCACGAUCG
rnacentral:pre_miRNA from 1 species